UACGUAGGGUCCGAGCGUUGUCCGGAAUUAUUGGGCGUAAAGCGCUCGCAGGCGGUCCGAUGCGUCGUGCGUGAAAGACCCCGGCUCAACUGGGGAGGGUCGUGCGAUACGGUCGGACUCGAGGCCAGUAGGGGGGACGCGGAAUUCCGGGUGUAGUGGUGGAAUGCGUAGAGAUCCGGAGGAACACCAGCGGCGAAGGCGGCGUCCUGGACUGGUACUGACGCUCAGGAGCGAAAGCGUGGGGAGCGAUCCGG
rnacentral:rRNA from 1 species